rnacentral:lncRNA from 1 species
GAUAAAAAACAAACACUUUUGCAGCAGUGUGUUUAUUUCAGUGAAAUGUUGUUGGGAAAGAAUAACUGAAACACUCCAUUAAACUUUUUUUGAACGGUGUGUUACUUUUUUAUCUAUUUUUUUUUUUUAUCAAAGGUUUUUUUUUCUUUCCUAUGUUAUAUUUUCCUCUAUUUCCUAGAAUAUUUUCUCUAACAAAAUAGCUCAAAUCAGAACAGUGCAUAUCCAUUAAGCCAAUUUGUCAAUCAUUGUUUUAUAUGAAACUUUAGCUCUUCUCAUUUUCAGUGUGCACUGGAGCAGAAGUAGCCAAUUCCUCCCUGAAGAUGGCAAGCCCUGGGUUCCUGAGGUGCCCUGACAGCGUUUGUGUGGUUUCUGCUUGCACUGAUGGCAUCUUCUGACCUCCUGAGAACUCCUGAGGACUGCGGAUGGCUCAAUCAUGUACCACCCUGCAGAUCACUGAAUGAUAACAAGACUGAGGAUUUACAGUGGAUUCAAGGUGCUUCUCUGCUCUGGAAUU